ACAAAAGACAUUUAGACCACAGUGAAGUGCUACUUCACACUCACUAGGAUACCUAAAAUUCUUAAAAGAGGGACAAUAAUUUAAGUAUUGGUAAGGUUGUGAAGAAAUUAGAAUCAUUCCACUGUGCUAGUGAGAAUGCAAAGUGGAGUACUCCUUAAAAAACAAGUAGUAGGGGCUGGGGAUAUAGCCUAGUGGCAAGAGUGCCUGCCU